rnacentral:rRNA from 1 species
UACGGAGGGAGCUAGCGUUAUUCGGAAUUACUGGGCGUAAAGCGCACGCAGGCGGUCUGUUAAGUUUGGAGUGACAGUUGGUGGCUUAACUGCCAAAGUGCUUCGAAAACUGACAGACUUGAGGGCUUCAGAGGGACACGGAAUUCCGGGUGGAGUGGUGAAAUGCGCAGAUAUCAGGAAGAACACCCGUGGCGAAGGCGGCUCUCUGGGACGGUACUGACGCUGAGACGCGAAAGCGUGGGGAGCGAACAGG